UACGUAGGUGGCAAGCGUUGUCCGGAUUUACUGGGUGUAAAGGGCGUGCAGCCGGAGAGACAAGUCAGAUGUGAAAUCCACGGGCUCAACCCGUGAACUGCAUUUGAGACUGUUUCCCUUGAGUGUCGGAGAGGUAAUCGGAAUUCCUUGUGUAGCGGUGAAAUGCGUAGAUAUAAGGAAGAACACCAGUGGCGAAGGCGGAUUACUGGACGAUAACUGACGGUGAGGCGCGAAAGCGUGGGGAGCAAACAGG
rnacentral:rRNA from 1 species